GGAAUGACUAUGGAAUAUAAAUGGGAGAAGUGUACAUAUGUAAUAUAUGGUUUUAGAGUUGUAUAUGUGCCAAAGUUCAUUUAUCACCAGACAUUGCCUGAAAGGGAUCAGGAGAGAGAGGAUGUUAGUGGGCAUUUCUCAGCGCUAUGUGUGACAGGCACCUGGUGCUGUAGCUGCCGCUAGACAAAACGAUGAAGCUGGAGGAUGUUCAACAGCAGAGCAAGUCUCUAUCUCAGUAAGACAAACAGAAACAAUACCCAAAACAACAUAAUCUGUGGUUGGAGAAAGUGUUUUAAAAAGUGU
rnacentral:lncRNA from 1 species